GGGGGAGCGCCGGAUCUUGGGCUGUGCCCCCAGUGCCCUGGGCUCCCGGGCCUGAGCUGUUGGAAUCGCGUUCCCAGCUGCGCAGCCCCCU
rnacentral:pre_miRNA from 1 species